AAGUCGACGAUGAAGCGGUGCUUGCACCGUGGAUUAGUGGCGAACGGGUGAGUAACACGUGAGUAACCUGCCUUCCACUCUGGGAUAAGCGCUGGAAACGGCGUCUAAUACUGGAUAUGACAUUGCCCUGCAUGGGGUGGUGUGGAAAGAUUUUUUCGGUGGUUGAUGGACUCGCGGCCUAUCAGCUUGUUGGUGGGGUAAUGGCCUACCAAGGCGACGACGGGUAGCCGGCCUGAGAGGGUGACCGGCCACACUGGGACUGAGACACGGCCCAGACUCCUACGGGAGGCAGCAGUGGGGAAUAUUGCACAAUGGGCGCAAGCCUGAUGCAGCGACGCCGCGUGAGGGAUGACGGCCUUCGGGUUGUAAACCUCUUUCAGCUCUGACGAAGCCCGCUUGCGGGUGACGGUAGGAGCAGAAGAAGCACCGGCUAACUACGUGCCAGCAGCCGCGGUAAUACGUAGGGUGCGAGCGUUGUCCGGAAUUAUUGGGCGUAAAGAGCUUGUAGGCGGCUUGUCGCGUCUGCUGUGAAAGCCCGGGGCUUAACCCCGGGUCUGCAGUGGGUACGGGCAGGCUAGAGUGUGGUAGGGGAGACUGGAAUUCCUGGUGUAGCGGUGGAAUGCGCAGAUAUCAGGAGGAACACCGAUGGCGAAGGCAGGUCUCUGGGCCAUUACUGACGCUGAGAAGCGAAAGCGUGGGGAGCGAACAGGAUUAGAUACCCUGGUAGUCCACGCCGUAAACGUUGGGCGCUAGGUGUGGGUCCCAUUCCACGGGGUCCGUGCCGCAGCUAACGCAUUAAGCGCCCCGCCUGGGG
rnacentral:rRNA from 1 species